ACUUGGUACUGGAUUGGACAUUUUACAGCACUCAUUGAAACCUCACCCUGUCAAGUUGGAAGUAUUUGCAAACUCUCUGUAUAGAAGAGGUCACAGAGACUCAGGGAGGCUAAGCAACUUACCAGUAGAGCACAGCAAGAAUGUGGGAAAAGUCGACAACCUGCACCCUUGUGACUGAGAGUACAUGUGGUUGUGUGUGUGACUUUAUGCGUGCACACGUCUUGCAAGCUUCAUGAGCACAGUUGACAGAGGUGAGGAGAAGAUAGACUUUUUUUUUCUUUUCUUUUUUCUUUUUUUUUUUUUUACCCCUAAGAGGGACUGAAAUUUAGGAGGUAAAACUGGCCUAAAGGGUUGCCCCUGAAGCUAUCUACUGCAUGCUUUUGACAGCACCUUUUCUGUAUUGCCAGAAAUGCCCCUCUAAAGCACUCCUUUGCACUUUACUCGAUUUUCUUGCAGGAACUCUUCAUACAGCAGGAACUAGACAGCUCUGCAGUCUUAGAUGCAUAAUCAACCAAAUGGAACAGGUAUACGAAUCAGUGUGUGCACAGAUGUAUUCGUGAGAAUCAAACCACAGUAAUACUAAGACUCAAACAUAACCUUGGAUUGAGAGUGUGUAACCCAUUCCCUGAUUGUUGGAAAAAGGUUCUGAAUGACGUCAAAGACGACCCUCAAUGAAGACUGUAUAUGUAGACAACGUGUUCCAAGAGCUAAACUAUGAGGUACUCUCCAAGGGAGAGGCCGAUGGGUGCACGAGAGGUUUCAUCCCAUGUAUACAUGCUAACUAAGCCUCAAGGUGCUGGGUGUUUGGAAGUCACUCGACUGUCACCCCUGUAAGCAGGGGAGCAAACAGUAUGCAGAACAUGUGUGUGAUAAGACAGCUGCUACAUGUUACGUACAAACAUCAGCCCAGCCUACCCUUUCUCCUCAGUAACCCUUGCCCUUCUUAAGACAUGGAAAGAGCACAUGUUUGGUAUCUUAGGUGGGCAGUUUUGUGCUUCGUUUGGCGGCUGAGUUCAGAAUUGUUAUUUUGUUUGGAGGUUUACUAGUGAGAGUCAAGGGAUAGUUGGGAGGAGGUUAUUACACACACACACACACACACAAAUAUAUAUAUAUAUGUGUAUAUAUAUAUAUAUAUAUAUAUAUAUAUAUAUACAUACACACAUACUUGGCUAUCAGGCUUGUGCAGUGUGUAUGUGUGUGGCAUGUGUGGUGUGAAAGGAGUCCUUGGCCUAUAAUUCAGGCAUCUGGGACCACUAUUGCUUGAGCUCUUCCACCCCCACAGCUUGUGCUCACAGGCAUACUGUUUUUUUUCCCUGUACCUCAUCUGCACACCAAGGGAAUGGCGUACAGAUUAUUACCAAAACCCUUUUCCAAUUGUACAGUUCUCUGAGGACACAUUCCCUAGUCUGUGAGUUAAUCAGAUGAUUAUUAAGUUGGAUUUCUGCAUAUUGAUUAAUGGCCCCAUUCCCACCCCUAGUGUUUGUUUUCUGCAUGGUUGAUGGAGACCAGAUGUAUUUGAAAGACUGGUGUCCAAAUUAGGAAUACACCCUAUACAGGGUCUAUCCACCACUGUCCUAGCUAGUUCUUAGCAUGCUGUUGUUCUACACAGCACACGAUGCAGAGGGCUUCUUUUGUUUUGCAGGGCGGGGUGGGGUCAUCAGGGCAAUGGUGUUAAGGCUAGUCAAAGACCUGUAAGCCAUUGCUAUCUACACUCAGUUGUACUAAACGUUCCGUUGACUGCAUUAUGAAUUCCUGUCCUCCCCCGUCCUGUCCUGCUGGUACUCAAAGGCACCCAUGUGCAGGCAAUGACUUCUCUGGUCCCACGGGGACAACUUCAGGUGGGAAUUUCUAGUUGUGCUAAGCAUUAGCAAACAACCCUUCUUCAGUUCUGAGGCAUCAUUUCCUGGGGAGUCAAAGCUGCCAUUUACGUGCUUGGUCUGGGACCAGGGUUCUGGUUGAAGCACUUGUGGCUCACUGGACUGGGGAAUGAUGUUAGCCAUCCAGUGUGCAGAGUGAUUUCAACAUCAGAGAAAGGAAAAGAAGCAAAAACAAGCUCGGAGAGACUCUCUAUAAAAGAAAACGUGCCCCAUCGUCUUCUGCCCUUUGGCUUUCUGCAUUUUGCCAAUGCUUCAUGUCUGUUUUUUUGUUUUGUUUUUCCCUCACUGUUAGGAUACAGCUGUAUGCAAAGACAAGAGGCUGAGGGUGGGCAUGGGAAGCCUCAGCUGAUAUUAAUAAUGGCUUCAAAAAGACACAACUGAGCUCUAAAACGAAGGCCACUUUCACUUGGCAUUUCGAAUGCUGUUGAGUCUGCAUACAGUGUGGCAGCUACCGGGCUCUGAAAAUCUCCUGCAGUCUGUCCUGGUGUGGUAGCCAUGUUACACCACACACUGUGACCCCUUCCUUGUUCCAUGUGCUUCUUGGUCCUUCCAUGCUGGUAGAUCACAUGACACCAGCUGAGUGGUAUGGAGAAGUGAGAGGUGUCUCUGAUUUACUGGGUGUAGUUAUUUUCACAGGUAUGGGAGGUUGGGGACCCCCUUGUGUUCUUUGUCCUUAAGUUCUCUGUUCUUUGUCCCGUGCAUUACAAAAUAAACCCUUCUGAGAAAGUUCCAGCCCAUCAGCUCAGUCAACUUGUGCCAUAGAUGCUGCUUCAUGGUCUGUCCCACGUGCGGGGCUCUAGCUGAAAGGGAGAUGCCUAGAUGGGCUAUGCAAACUACCCCGAAGGAAUGGAGGUUACUCCAGUUCUUCCUGUCCCAGAGCUGCAGGCAAGGGACCCAGUGAUGACCAACCAUAGAUCCAAGUGUGGAGAUGUUUUACAUAUUCUUUUUUUCUGUAGGAUUUCAUGGUGCUUUUUUUUUUCUUUUAAAGGCAUUUUACAGUUAAUGCGUUGGGGGAGGGGCAUUUCAUAUUGUUCUUAGGAGAAGUGGGGAUUUGCUUGUAACAUUUCAAAAAGCUGUGCUGCUAUUGCCCUUAUUUGAAGAUGUAAUUUUUUUUUUCAAUGAUGGAGAACAUUGCAACAAAGACCUUCUGGAAGAUCC
rnacentral:lncRNA from 1 species